UACGGAGGAUGCGAGCGUUAUCCGGAUUUAUUGGGUUUAAAGGGUGCGUAGGCGGACGCUUAAGUCAGCGGUAAAAUUGCGGGGCUCAACCUCGUCGAGCCGUUGAAACUGGGUGCCUUGAGUGGGCGAGAAGUACGCGGAAUGCGUGGUGUAGCGGUGAAAUGCAUAGAUAUCACGCAGAACUCCGAUUGCGAAGGCAGCGUACCGGUGCCCAACUGACGCUGAAGCACGAAGGCGUGGGUAUCGAACAGG
rnacentral:rRNA from 1 species